GGAAGUGAAAGUCGUAACAAGGUCUCCGUUGGUGAACCAGCGGAGGGAUCAUUACAGGAUCGAAAGACUCCUAUAACCCCUGUGAACUUACUACAAAUACGUUGCUUCGGCGGGUGCCCCGGGUCUCCCGGGGCGUUCAGCCCGCCGGCAGCCUUCAAAUUCUGUUUCUUUGCGUUGGCAUCUCGAGUAUACAAAAAUAAGUUAAAACUUUCAACAACGGAUCUCUUGGUUCUG
rnacentral:misc_RNA from 1 species